CUCCCCUCCCCCACCAGUGGGACCAAUGACUUCAGCCAGCAGUCUUCAGCCAGGACGACACGGAAACCCUGUUGGAGGAAGGGGGAAAAAAGUUGGGCUUCCACUGCCUGAAACACGCUGCUGGGGAAAGGAAGCGGGUGGAGAGAGCAGUGGUCCAGUGUAAUGUUUGUGCAAACAGCUCCAACUGGUCAAAGCAAGUGUCUUCUGCGGAUCAGAACUGGUGCGUCCAGCCAUUCUGUGGUCUCGCAUUUGCUCCCUCUGCCAUUACGCCCCCCACGUAGGACAGACUAUGGUCUCCACCUGCCCUGCCAAGUAGCGCUUUCUCCACAGGUGAAGCUGUUCAAGGGCAUGUGUGGCUGGAAACAGCACCGGCAAGAGAGCAAUGAGGGGGCAGGGGAGCCUUUCCCUUGCCGUCUGGUGCAAAAGGAGGAGGAAGGGGACAAUAACCGAAAAGAAUGGCAGUGGCUGGUUUUUUUCCUGCCUUACACAUCUUAGUUGCAGGGAUUGGAGUGGGAGAAGCGUUCCAUGCAACGGCGUCAGUUAAUGAACAAUAUCAUCUUGCACCUUUUGUCUGAGGAUCUCAAAAGACGUCACACACACUCAGCAAGCCUCACAACAGCCGUCUCAGGAAGAAGAGGGACAUAUUGUUAUUCCCAGCACUGAAAUCAAUGGCCAUUUGGCCCUGUCUGCACAGGCAGGGCCCGGCGGAGAGUAGAGAAGGUUUUGGCGACGGUAUACACUACCUGGUCCCGGCAGUAUUUGUAGGGAUCCGGGGUGUAGGAGGAGCCUCUGAUUCCGAUCUGAACCACGCGUUUGCAAUCCAGGAGCCCCUCCUCCACGCAGCGUCGGAAUGGCGUCCCAUGUUAGAUCUUCUCCCCCAGCACAGCACACACGGCCACAGCUGGCCCUGCAGGUUCAAAGCAGAGAGUGGCUGGGGUAGCAGAGACACACAGCACUUAUUCCACCCCCCUCACUCCUUCCCCCCCGGCAGGUUCAAAGUGCAGCAGCCAGAGAUGCAACAGCUUUAAACUCAGCCCUAUGCUUUCCCCUAAUCAAUUUCCUCUGCCCUCCUCCCUUCCCCCCUUGCAUUCUGGGAAAUGGAGUCUUUUCCUACUCUGGGUUUGUCAGG
rnacentral:lncRNA from 1 species